GCAGCCGCCGCGGUAAUACGGAGGGGGCUAGCGUUGUUCGGAAUUACUGGGCGUAAAGCGCACGUAGGCGGCUUUGUAAGUUAGAGGUGAAAGCCCGGAGCUCAACUCCGGAAUUGCCUUUAAGACUGCAGAGCUAGCAGGUGAGAGAGGUGUGUGGAAUUCCGAGUGUAGAGGUGAAAUUCGUAGAUAUUCGGAAGAACACCAGUGGCGAAGGCGGCUCACUGGCUCAUACUGGACGCUGAGGUGCGAAAGCGUGGGGAGCAAACAGGAUUAGAUACCCGCGUAGUCCCUGUCUCUUAUCA
rnacentral:rRNA from 1 species